rnacentral:rRNA from 1 species
CGCCUAACACAUGCAAGUCGAGUGCCUUUAAAAGCACGGCAAACGGCUGCGUAACACGUUGGUAUCUGCCCCGAACUCAGGAAUAACCCGCCGAAAGGCGGAGUAAUACCGGAUGGUCCCGAAAGGGUAAAGAUUUUUCGGUUCGGGAGGAGCCUGCGGCCUAUCAGCUAGUUGGUGAGGUAACGGCUCACCAAGGCAAUGACGGGUAGCUGGUCUGAGAGGACGACCAGCCAGAAUGGAACUGCGACACGGUCCAUACUCCUACGGGAGGCAGCAGUGAGGAAUCUUCCGCAAUGGGCGAAAGCCUGACGGAGCGACGCCGCGUGGUGGAUGAAGGCCCUAUCGGGUCGUAAACACC